rnacentral:rRNA from 1 species
UACGGGGGGAGCAAGCGUUGUUCGGAUUUACUGGGCGUAAAGGGCGCGUAGGCGGUCAGCACAAGUCAGUUGUGAAAUCUCCGGGCUUAACUCGGAAAGGUCAACUGAUACUGUGCGACUAGAGUGCGGAAGGGGCAACUGGAAUUCUCGGUGUAGCGGUGAAAUGUGUAGAGAUCGGGAGGAACACCGGUGGCGAAGGCGGGUCUCUGGGCAAUUCCUGACGCUGAGGCGCGAAAGCGUGGGGAGCAAACGGG